UCGAACGGUAACGGGCCCGCAAGGGUGCCGACGAGUGGCGGACGGGUGAGGAAUACAUCGGAAUUUGCCCAGUCGUGGGGGAUAACGUAGGGAAACUUACGCUAAUACCGCAUACGACCGGAAGGUGAAAGCGGGGGAUCGCAAGACCUCGCGCGAGUGGAUGAGCCGAUGUCGGAUUAGCUAGUUGGUGGGGUAAAGGCCUACCAAGGCGACGAUCCGUAGCUGGUCUGAGAGGAUGAUCAGCCACACUGGGACUGAGACACGGCCCAGACUCCUACGGGAGGCAGCAGUGGGGAAUAUUGGACAAUGGGGGCAACCCUGAUCCAGCAAUGCCGCGUGUGUGAAGAAGGCCUUCGGGUUGUAAAGCACUUUUGUCCGGAACGAAACGCGCAGGGUGAAUAGCCUUGUGAACUGACGGUACCGGAAGAAUCAGCACCGGCUAACUUCGUGCCAGCAGCCGCGGUAAUACGAAGGGUGCAUGCGUUACUCGGAAUUACUGGGCGUAAAGCGUGCGUAGGUGGUUUUUUAAGUCCGUUGUGAAAGCCCUGGGCUCAACCUGGGAAUGGCAGUGGAUACUGGAAAGCUAGGGUGCGGUAGAGGGUAGUGGAAUUCCCGGUGUAGCAGUGAAAUGCGUAGAGAUCGGGAGGAACACCAGUGGCGAAGGCGGCUACCUGGACCAGCACUGACACUGAGGCACGAAAGCGUGGGGAGCAAACAGGAUUAGAUACCCUGGUAGUCCACGCCCUAAACGAUGCGAACUGGACGUUGGGAGCAACUUGGCUCUCAGUGUCGAAGCUAACGCGUUAAGUUCG
rnacentral:rRNA from 1 species